GCCCGUUGUAUUUAUUGAUUUCCUUGUUUCAAAUUUUCACUACAUUUGAUGUCGCUGUUAAAGUGCAUUUUGUUAUACAUGGAAUUAUCAUUAUUUGGUCUCUAACUACACACCUUCACCAAUUUACAAGCAAUUGAAUAAAUGACCAACUAGUAACUAAAAGGUAAUGAAAUGGACAAGAAAAUGUAAAGGAGACUGCCUAAAUUAAAUGUGAAGGGCCAUCAUCAGGGAUCUGCAUCACCCGCAACAUUGUCAUCACUUGAUAUUC
rnacentral:misc_RNA from 1 species